AUCAUCAGUUGAAUUUCUUUUUGCUGCUGCUAGACGUCCUCCGUGUUGAAAUACAGCCGAGUGCCGACACAUUUCCCAUCAGAUUUGUGACAAAUUCUUCUUCACUAAUAAAUAUUAUAUAUUUAUAUAAAUUGAUUAUCAGUUGAAUUUCUUAUUGAUGCUGCAAAUCUUCCUCCGGGUUGGAACGAAGCCGAGUGCCGACACAUUUUCCUUCAGCUCAAUGACAAAUUCUUCGUCGGGUCCAGAGUUUUGCCUACCGCGGUCCGCCAGUUGCCGACCCCUGCUAUAAUCUAUAAACCUUGGAUACCAUGGACUGGAUGGAGCAUAGACCUAUACAAG